UCUGGGUGUGGUGGCACACACCUGUAAUCCCAGUGAACCCAGAGGCUGAGGCAGGAGGAUCACAAGUUCAAGGCCAGCCACAGCAAAUUAGUGAGGCCCUAGCAAUUUAGUGAGACCCUGUCUCAG
rnacentral:sRNA from 1 species